rnacentral:lncRNA from 1 species
AGCAUUGUAAAUUAUUAAAUAUUAAUUGUUUAUUAUUUUUAUACAUACAUAUAUAUAUAAUUGCAUUGUAAAUAAUUAUUUAGGAUAUGCAUAAUGUAUAUAAGAAAAAUAAAAAAUAAUUAAUUAGGAUAUGCAUAAUGUAUAUAAGAAAAAUAAAACAUCAUAUACAUUUAUUUAGGAUAAUUAAUAAUUAUUUAGGACAAGUAAUAAUUAAUAAUACAUCAUAUAUAUUUAUUUAGAACAAUUAAUAAUUAUUUAGGACAAUUAUACAUCAUAUACAUCAAAUAAGAAAAAUAAAAAAUAAAAAAAUAAAACAAUGGCUACUGGUGGGCCGGCCCAGCUGGGCAGGCGGCCCACCGGCCCCUGCCCCUCCCCCUCCCUCUCACCCUCGCCCUCUCCGCCGGCCGCAAGGCCGCCGCCGCCUCGGGUGACCACCCCGACGCCCCGACCGCCUCGACUCCCCCCGCCUCCCAACGCCGCC